GAUGAACGCUAGCGGCAGGCCUAAUACAUGCAAGACGAACGGUAACUUUGGUAGCAAUAUUGAAGCAAGAGUGUCGUAAGGGUGCGUAACACGUAUGCAAUCUGCCCUCAACAGGAGGAUAGCUCCCCGAAAGGGGAAUUAACACUCCAUAAGAUUGUGGUCUGGCAUCAGACAGCAAAUUAAAACUACGGUGGUUGAGGAUGAGCAUGCGCAUGAUUAGUUAGUUGGCGGGGUAAUGGCCCACCAAGACGAUGAUCAUUAGGGGAACUGAGAGGUUGACUCCCCCACACUGGCACUGAGAGUACGGGCCAGACUCCGUACGGGAGGCAGCAGUAAGGAAUAUUGGACAAUGGAACGAAAGUCUGAUCCAGCCAUGCCGCGUGAAGGAUUAAGGUCCUCUGGAUUGUAAACUUCUUUUAUAUGGGACGAAAAAAGGGCAUUCUUGUUCACUUGACGGUACCAUAUGAAUAAGCACCGGCUAACUCCGUG
rnacentral:rRNA from 1 species